CGUAGGGUGCGAGCGUUAAUCGGAAUUACUGGGCGUAAAGCGUGCGCAGGCGGUUUUGUAAGACAGGCGUGAAAUCCCCGGGCUCAACCUGGGAACUGCGCUUGUGACUGCAAGGCUAGAGUACGGCAGAGGGGGUGGAAUUCCACGUGUAGCAGUGAAAUGCGUAGAGAUGUGGAGGAACACCAAUGGCGAAGGCAGCCCCCUGGGUCGAUACUGACGCUCAUGCACGAAAGCGUGGGUAGCAACCAGGAUUAGAUACCCUGGUAGUCCACGCCCUAAACGAUGUCAACUAGGUGUUGGGUGGGUAAAACCAUUUAGUACCGGAGCUAACGCGUGAAGUUGACCGCCUGGGGAGUACGGCCGCAAGGUUA
rnacentral:rRNA from 1 species